rnacentral:rRNA from 1 species
UACGUAGGUGGCAAGCGUUGUCCGGAUUUAUUGGGCGUAAAGCGCGCGCAGGCGGUUCGUUAAGUUCGAGGUGAAAUCUCCUGGCUCAACUGGGAGGGGUCUUCGGAUACUGGCGGACUUGAGGAGAGCAGAGGUGAGUGGAAUUCUCGGUGUAGUGGUGAAAUGCGUAGAUAUCGAGAGGAACACCAGCGGCGAAGGCGGCUCACUGGGCUCCACCUGACGCUGAGGCGCGAAAGCCAGGGGAGCGAACGGG